ACUCGCCGUUCGAAAAGGCGCGACGGCUUCUUCCGGAAGGAUCUGAUCCAACCCGUCGCCUUGUCCCGUCCCGUCUCCUCUCCUCCGCGCGUGCCCCCGCCGUCGCUCUCCUUCUCGUCGCCGUUCCGUCGUAUGCAACGGCUCUCAAAUUCGACUUUGCUGCUCCCCUUAUAGCCUAUCGGAUGAUGGAAUUUCGCUGAUACAACAAGGAUCGGAGGAAUUGUGCUGCGCAGGUUGCAUGUGGGGAGGAUAAUCGCUGCAUAACAAAGGUUGGUCUUAGAAGGAUAAGGAGGAUUGGACUUUCUGACGGUAAUAAUGGUGUCAAUUUGCAGUAAUUCAGGUGACUGACCCAUAUUUGUCUCCAAUCAACUUAUCGUGUGAGAUUGACAUAUCACCAACUACACAGUUUUUUCCCCAUGGGAUUCUUAGUCAAUGAUAAAUAGCCCCGAAAACUGCAGUUUGAAUAGUUGGCAUGAAACUCUGACACCUCAGCUGCUUCUGUAAUAUUUAGUCUGCAAGCACAUUCAUGUGCAUGGUACGUUUCUGUUUUUUCAUGAACUCCGGGAUCCUUGCCUUACAGGUUUUUAGCAGGGUGAUCCUUUAUGUAAAGGGUUAUCAAUUACCAGAAGGAUCUGUGGUGUACUACUGUCAGUAAGUGUAAGCUGGCUGUGAAUACCAGAGUUGGUGCAUUAGAUAUUAGCUGCUUUUUUUAAAGAGAGAUAGCAUGGAGUGAUGAAUAUGAUUUAGUGCAGAAUAUACAUAGUCUGAAGAAAUUCUAAAGAAAAGGCUGGCAGAAAAACAAUGGAGGUUCAGACGCCUUUUCUUAGAGUAGCUGAUUGAAAUGGUAACAGCAGGGGUUCAUCUGUGUAUAGAAACCAGGGAAAUAAUCCCAUAAAACUAUCAAGUUGGUAUGUUUGUUUGGUUCGACAUGAGUGGCUACACAUAUCCUCAGCAUGUUUUUUGUACUAAAAAAUGAGGUGUCUUUGCAAGAGAAUACAUUUAAAAUGGAUUUCCAGAAUAAUUGCUGCAUAGCCAUUCAGGAUUAAAGUUGGUUACUAUAGAUAUUAUGUAUAAUUUUGGCACCUGAUAGAAUUGUUCACAUAAUUACUGCAGAUGAAAUGAUCGGGUUAUUUUAGUCAAAUGGAUAGUUUCUAAUUCUGUCCAGUUCACAUUUCAAGAGCUGAAGCUUCCCAUAAUCUCCAUAGCGAUGUUCAUCUUGCUAACAUCCACAUGUAAUGUGCAUUAAACAUUCACAAGUGGCGGUGCUGAUGAUAUGUGCCAAAGCAGAGCACUAGAAUUUAGUUUGAUGUAGUCAAGUCUGAUAAAGGUAGAUUUAGGUCAGAUCUGUGAAACAACUGGGUCUGAACCUGGCUUUGUAAGUAGUUUUCGUUAGACCAGUACAAACUACAGGUAUACCUCAUACUGAAAUGCUUUUGAAAGUAUUGUUGCUUGUUUUUAUUGUUGAUUCCAGAAGAUGCACUUCUGUAGUAAUACUACUACUUGAUUGUAUGCUUACCUUUAGAUUUUGAUUCUAGUUUAACUGUCGAUGUGCCUUACAUAAUACCAACUUCUGUCCUCAAAAGAUCUGAUCAGAGGAAUCGAAUAGGGUUUUUCACCUCCCAUGAUCUGAACCACACAUUUGCCUAUUGUAUUAUAUUGUUUUCUCUCUUCCACAAAACGUGUUUAUGCACCACUUGUUUCUAUCAUCCACUUUGCACUAGGUUAUUGUUAUAGUUGAAUUAUGAAUCAUCUCAAUGGCUUAAUGUAUGACCUCAACCAUCCUCAGUAUUUAAUGUUCAAAGGCCAGUCUGCUAAACAUUGGUGUUGUCUUCUAAAUAAUUGGAUUGCAUUGUCUGCUAAACUUUUUUUUGAGGGAAACAGUAGGGGAAUCCCCUACUCUGGUAAAUAUAUUAAUAUAAGAGAAAAAACAAAGCAACUGUACAAAGAAACCUCGAAAAAGAAAAGGAAGGAGGAGAAAGAGCUACACAAGAGAAGAGAACCAGGAAGAGACCAGGGGUCUCAGAGAUACAGACAUUCUGAGGGAUUUGCUGCUAUGAUGAAAAUCUCCAUGAAGAAAGGACAAUGAAGCUCCCUUUUGGCUCUAUGCAACAUUGGGAAGAAUAGGAGGUGUUGAUCCCAGUUAAUACUGACGAGACUCCAACAUUGUCUGCUAAACGUUGCCAAUCUGUUGGCUCAAUGUAUUGCUCCUUUUUCAGGCACGUUUUUAUCAUUGCAUUGCUUUUGGGUCAACCUGUUGGUGCCUUGGUGGAAUGAUUUCACAAACCUAGCGGUCAGUGGUCACGUGAAGAAAUGCACUCCUGAGAUGAGAUGCUAAAUACCUGUGAAAUAGCAGGCUGUGUUAUUUGCUAACCAUGGAUCUAACCUCAUGCUACUUUCUGUACUGUCGUUAACUGAAUGCAAACAACUCAACAUGAGUUCUGCUGGACGCUGGUUAGUGAUCAGUUGAUCAGCACAGCUCAUCUCUAGGCUGUAAUAACAGCUGGGUUCAUCGUUACUUGGACCACUACAAUCCUCCAAUGAUUGCCUCCAAAGUUGCUUCAGAGUUCAGGUGACGCUGCUCUACUUUGAAGUACUGCUUUGAGGCAUCUUUGUCCACGACAAAGUCGCUAUGCUGUGUUCUUCAGCAUACCUUCCAUAGAUCUUGUCUUUACAGGGGAUACUUUUACCUACACUUUUGUACAACAUAUGCUCUACAAAAGCAUUAAAAUAGCAGCAACCGUCACAAGGACAACGGCAGUGACGCCUUUGGGAAUAUUCUCUGUCCUGGUGCUAGGAUGGCUAGGGGAUCAUACGUGUGUUUCCUCCGUUCAAAUGUCUCCCACCUUUCUCCAAAGUGGGCUUUCCACUGCUGCUGUGUGGUGUAGGGUGCUAGAUACUGUUUCAUCCCAAUAUCAGCCUCUUCACAGAACUCCAGGAUUUGGUUAUUCAGGUUCAUUGCAUGUGCGACGCUGCCAUGACCGGAGAGAGAUGGUGCUGAAGAUAGGAACCCCACCAGGAUCUUGCCAAAAACUUCCUUAGCAAAUUUGUGGAUUGUGCUCCUUGGGAUUAGGAGAUUCAACCACGGGUGUGGGACUUCCCAAAGGCCUUGUGCCCUCAGCUUCACCUCAGAGGUGUGCACCCUAUCCAAGAACUCCAGCCUCGUCAUUGUUGAAGUUCUUGGUUAGCUCGAGGCAGUAUAGAACUCUUCCAUCCGACUGAAAAUGGCUUGCUUGGACUGGGUCUUGUGGCUUGAACGACAUCCUCCAGUUGUUCAGGAUGCCUGUCCUGUUUAUGAUGACAAAACCUUCAAUGUAGUCAAACGUGUCCUCUGCUAUAACCAGCAUCUCCUGGUCCUUGGUGAAGCUUGCAAAGUCCGAGCUCAAGAGCAAUCCUUGCUCUAGUGAUGAUCCCAAACUGACCGAGACCUCCAAGAGCAGCAUAGAAGAGAUCAGAGUUCUCCUCGGGUGAGCAGUUGAUUGACAUUGCUGGCCUGCGGUCCGUGCCGGAACGCCUGCCCGCUGACCCCGGCAUUUGACAGCGUGCCACCGACCGUGAGAUGGAGAUAGUCGGUCCACGACUUGGGCGCCAGGCCAUACUUCAACGUCUCACGCAGCACGUUGAUCCAUAGCUCUCCUCCAGGGGCAUCGACAAACGGUGAAGUGCCGUCGUCGUGCACCUGCAUCCUCUCACCCCGGAGUGAUUCCAUCCUGACGACGAUCCCCCCGGCAGCCUGGGACUGACCCAUGAGCGAGUGCCCGUGCCCGCGCGCCGCGACGGUGAGGGGUGACUGCUCACCCAGGAAGAACACAUGCCUCACGGUCGCUGCAAUAUCGGACACGGAGCCGGGGUGGAGCACGGCGGCCGGCAGCAAGCUGCACCGGUUGCCGAAGUCCCGCGCCAUGGCCGAAGCAUCAUGGAAGCUGAAGUGGCCGUCGAGGCGCAGCUCCCCGAGGGAGGGGAACACGUCCGCGUCGGGCACGUGCAUGGUGACCCCGCCGAGGGCCAGCAGCAGGAGCAGCUCGAACCAGUGCACCAGUGAUGGCUCCAUGGCCGGCGCCUCAAUUUAUAAGUCAAAAGAACCAAACCAAAACGAUGGGGUUUGGCCGGUUGGUGGAGAGGUAAUUUUGGAAGCUUGGAAGAUGAACAGGUGGAGUGAGUUCUUGAGGUUUGAAGGCGGUGGCUGUCCAUGCAGGGGAGGGAGGGGGGUCUCUAUAUAGGACCGUCUGUGCGCGCGCGCGAGAGGAGCAAGUGGUACGGUCAACUAGUCUUGGGCCUGGGCGCUAGCUGUUUGGUAAAAACCGUAUGACGACUGUCUGCCUGCCUGCUUGCAAAUUUGGAUGCAAACAUGCCCUAGUGGUGCGUUGCAAAAGUUUCUUUUUAGAGCAUGGUGUUCUUGCCUUGUAGCUUUUAUCUUAAGCAUGGGGGUGCAGGUGUUGGCUACUACUCAACAAGCUAAUCGAGACAGAGGUGAGAAACCGAUCUCAUAAAAAAAAAGAGGAUGAUUCUUUGUUCCAUCAUCAGUGGACUCAGUCUAUCAUCGGGGGAGCCUUGCUCUCAGCCUCUCAGGGACAGUCACAGGGCUUCCAUGCGUUUGUCCCUGCCCAAACCCACAGAACAUCCAUAUGUUUUGGACGAUGGUCAUACGCUGUUGGAUUGGAUCAGCUGCCUCCGUUUCUGUGAAGAGGGAGAUGCUCAUGCAUGCAUACAUGCAUGGGAGACCGGACUUGACGACGGAGGAGUCCGGAGAGCGAUCGCCGGUGCGGCCCGGCCUUGAGAUCGCGCGGAAGUGGACUUCGGGGACCCGCACCCCACGUGGCCGGCUUGACAUUUUCCCGGGUGGCUUUCGGCCCACGGGGACCAACGCCGACAUGUCAGCCAGGAUGUUGUUUGGUUCUGGGAUCUUGUGCUUUUUUUAAUUUCUGAACACGAGGAUUGCAGGUAGACAAACUCCAGGGCCUUAAGUUUCGAAGAUUGCUAACCAGUGAACAUAUCCAGAGAAAACUCAUUAGAAAAAUUGUUGCAGGAUAUUUUUUUUAAAAAAAAUGUUGAACUAGGUUUUAGAAAUUGUUGACAGUGUAUCUUUUAGAAAUUCUCGACACCU